GCCUGUUUAAUUAAAAGGGUUAAUAUUUGAUUUGUAAUCAAAAAAUAAAGGUUCGAUUCCUUUAAUAGGCA
rnacentral:tRNA from 1 species